CCUAACACAUGCAAGUCGAGGGAGAAGCCCUUCGGGGCAGAAACCGGCGCACGGGUGCGUAACGCGUAUGCAACCUACCUUUCACAGGGGGAUAGCCCGAAGAAAUUUGGAUUAAUACCCCAUAAUAUUAUUGGAUGGCAUCAUUUGAUAAUUAAAAUUACGAUGGUGAAAGAUGGGCAUGCGUCCUAUUAGCUAGUUGGAGUGGUAACGGCACCCCAAGGCUACGAUAGGUAGGGGUCCUGAGAGGGAGAUCCCCCACACUGGUACUGAGACAGGGACCAGACUCCUACGGGAGGCAGCAGUGAGGAAUAUUGGUCAAUGGUCGGAAGACUGAACCAGCCAUGCCGCGUGCAGGAAGAAUGCCUUAUGGGUUGUAAACUGCUUUUAUAUGGGAAGAAUAAGGAGUACGCGUACUUUGAUGACGGUACCAUAAG
rnacentral:rRNA from 1 species